UUGAUAAAAUGAAAAAUUUUAAACUAAAAAUAUGCACAAGCAAAAUAAAUUUCAAAUUCCGAUCGAUAUUUAAAUUAAUUGUUAAAAACCGUAACGCCCAAAAAACAUGGAGUUUAAAAACACUGCAUUUGAACACAAGGGUUUCGGGGUGCUACAGGCUCCUGGAUAUAUUUCUUUUUGGAUGUUGGUUUUUGUUGAUUUUUAAUUGUUGUCGUAGACCUAGUCAUCUAGUCACAAAAUCUUAUACAGUGAUAAUGUGUUCUAUGAUUUGCCAUUUUAGCUUUUGUAGACGAUUUCUGGAGUUGUUUAUAGACUCCUUGAUAAGCACAUCAACACAAUUGAUCCAUUUAGUAGACUGGAAACACAAAUAUUAAGCACUUGUUUAUUAGUUGAAGUUUUUAAGCCAAAAAAUGAGAGAAAAACUCCACCUAGACUUUUUGUAUAUGAGCUUAAUAUGGCUUUAGAAAAAUUGUUCAAUGAACUGUUAAUCUCCACAACCUAAAUAUAUUAAAUGGUUUUAUUUUUCGCAAUAAGCAUUGCUUUUCUGUAAAUGACCUCAAGCACCUUACUGACCUUAAAUACAAUUUGGCUUGUUCGACUUCUUCCUAAUUUCGAUGUCACUUUUGCUAUAAAGCAUUCCUUUGACAGUGGAAUGGUCAAGUUUGGCUCAACCUGAUUUAUUGCUUGCUGGUUGCCAUGAUGGAACGGUUGCUAUAUGGAAGUUCUCUAGACGCAGUUUAUCAGAAGAUACAAGACCAUUGAUUUGUUUCAGUGCAGACACAGUGCCUAUUAGGGCAGUUGCAUGGGCUCCAGUUGAAAGGUUAGCAAUAUCAUAGAUUGAUAUUUUGUUCUCUUUAUCAGUUACCAUUAUAUUUCUUUGUUAAAUCUUAUGCUUGUGGUGGUUUAUUUGGUGGCAUAACAAAGUGUUAACUGGCACACGAUUGUGUUAUUACUUGUUUAUACUUAUAUUUUAAAGUUCUA